GUACACGCUGUGACUAGCAUAUCAAUAAGCGGAGGAAAAGAAACUAACAAGGAUUCCCCUAGUAACGGCGAGUGAAGCGGGAAGAGCUCAAAUUUGAAAUCUUAAAGGGUUUCCCUUUACGAAUUGUAGUUUAAAGAAGUGUUUUCUGUUGAGGUUUUGGUAAAAGUUCUUUGGAAUAGGACAUCAUAGAGGGUGAGAAUCCCGUAUUUGACCUUUACUUUCAACUUUGUGACACACUUUCAAAGAGUCGGAUUGUUUGGGAAUGCAGUCCAAAAUGGGUGGUAAAUUUCAUCUAAAGCUAAAUAUUGGCGAGAGACCGAUAGCGAACAAGUACCGUGAGGGAAAGAUGAAAAGAACUUUGAAAAGAGAGUUAAACAGUACGUGAAAUUGUCAAAAGGGAAGCGUUUGACACCAGUGUUGUUUUUCUGAAAAUCAAUUAAAGAACUGUUUAUGCUAAGCUGUUUAGACUUUAUCAGCUAAUCUGUUUAGUUUUGAGCUUUUCUUUAAUGCACUUUUCAGUUAACAAGUCAACAUCAAUUUCUUUUGCUGUAAAAAAGCUUGAGGAAGGUGGCUUGAGAUUCGUCUUAAGUGUUUAUAGCCUCUUGCCUAUGCAGUCGGAGAGAUUGAGGUCUGCAGCGUAGAUCCUUCGGGGCUAAAUGCAUUUGUGCUAAGUUAUAGCAUUUUAUAGACAACUUGUUGACUAUGAUUUGUCUUGUAGCUUACUCGCUUAUGUUAUUUUACCUACGCUUAGGAUGUUGAAGAUGUAGCACAUCAU
rnacentral:rRNA from 1 species